rnacentral:tRNA from 1 species
GCUUUUAUAGCUUAUAUUAAAGUAUAAUAUUGAAAAUAUUAAGAAAUAUUUUUUGAAAGCA